AUCGAGCUGACGAGUCCCGAAUAGGAUGAAACGCGAUUUCUGGAU
rnacentral:hammerhead_ribozyme from 1 species